rnacentral:rRNA from 1 species
AGAGUUUGAUCCUGGCUCAGGACGAACGCUGGCGGCGCGCUUAACACAUGCAAGUCGAGCGAGAACCAGGCCUUCGGGCCUGGGGAAAGCGGCGAACGGGUGAGUAACACGUGGGUAACCCACCCUUGGUACCGGGAUAGCCCGAGGAAACUCGGAUUAAUACCGGAUGGCCCAACAGCUUCUCGGAGCGGUUGGAAAAGGUAGCUUCGGCCUCCGACCAAGGACGGGCCCGCGGCGGAUUAGCUUGUUGGUGAGGUAACGGCUCACCAAGGCUUCGAUCCGUAGCUGGUCUGAGAGGACGAUCAGCCACACUGGGACUGAGACACGGCCCAGACUCCUACGGGAGGCAGCAGUGGGGAAUCUUGCGCAAUGGGCGAAAGCCUGACGCAGCGACGCCGCGUGGGGGAAGAAGGCUUUCGGGUUGUAAACCCCUUUCAGGAAGGACGAAGCCACUCGGGUUAAUAGCCCAGAGGGUGACGGUACUUCCAGAAGAAGCCCCGGCUAACUACGUGCCAGCAGCCGCGGUAAUACGUAGGGGGCAAGCGUUGUCCGGAUUUAUUGGGCGUAAAGAGCGUGUAGGCGGCUGGGUAGGUCCGUUGUGAAAACUCGAGGCUCAACCUCGAGACGCCGAUGGAAACCAUCCAGCUAGAGUCCGGAAGAGGAGAGUGGAAUUCCUGGUGUAGCGGUGAAAUGCGCAGAUAUCAGGAAGAACACCCGUGGCUAAGGCGGCUCUCUAGUACGUGACUGACGCUGAGCGCGAAAGCGUGGGGAGCGAACAGGAUUAGAUACCCUAGUAGUCC